rnacentral:rRNA from 1 species
AGAGUUUGAUCCUGGCUCAGAGCGAACGCUGGCGGCAGGCCUAACACAUGCAAGCUGAACGGACCCUUCGGGGUUAGUGGCGGACGGGUGAGUAACACGUGGGAACGUGCCUUUAGGUUCGGAAUAGCUCCUGGAAACGGGUGGUAAUGCCGAAUGUGCCCUUCGGGGGAAAGAUUUAUCGCCUUUAGAGCGGCCCGCGUCUGAUUAGCUAGUUGGUGAGGUAAUGGCUCACCAAGGCGACGAUCAGUAGCUGGUCUGAGAGGAUGACCAGCCGCAUUGGGCCUGAGACACGGCCCAAACUCCUACGGGAGGCAGCAGUGGGGAAUAUUGCACAAUGGCGCAAGCCUGAUGCAGCCAUGCCGCGUGUGUGAAGAAGGCUCUAGGGUUGUAAAGCACUUUCAGCGAGGAGGAAAGGUUGUAAGUUAAUACCUUACAGCUGUGACGUUACUCGCAGAAGAAGCACCGGCUAACUCCGUGCCAGCAGCCGCGGUAAU